AGAAUUAUAGGACUUCAGUCCAUGAUUUGGAAAAAUUACUGGAAUUGGAGUCAAAAAUAAUUUG
rfam:Macaca mulatta chromosome 1, whole genome shotgun sequence.